GACAAACGCUGGCGGCGUACUUAAGACAUGCAAGUCGAACGGGUGUCCUGCUUUCGGGUGGGAUGCUAGUGGCGGAUGGGUGAGUAACGCGUAGGAACCUGUCGUUAAGUGGGGGAUACCGCUGGGAAACCGGCGCUAAUACCGCAUGUGGUCGAGCGAUCGAAGAAAGCAGCAAUGCGCUUGAUGAGGGGCCUGCGUCCGAUUAGCUAGUUGGUGGGGUAAAGGCCUACCAAGGCGCGAUCGGUAGCUGGUCUGAGAGGAUGGUCAGCCACACUGGGACUGAGACACGGCCCAGACUCC
rnacentral:rRNA from 1 species